rnacentral:lncRNA from 1 species
GAAAAAAAAGAAGCAAAUGAUACCAAGACAAGCUACUAAGAGAGAUCUAAUCAGCAGAUGUGUACGGAUGAAAAUACAGAUUGAAAAGAAGGCUUAGGCCAACCCCAAAGAAGAAGUGACCAAGGAGGAGUUUAAAGUGAAUGGAUGGUCUCGGCUCCUGGACUCACUGCUUCACAACCCAUCUACCCUUGGACGAGUUAUCUGGCUUCAAAUAUUAUGCAAGGGCAAACACCUGCUGAUGCAGCAACUGCUGAUGCUCGUUGUCCCCAUGGCAUGAGGGCCUCAGGGCAGCCUGCCUGGAGAUGGUAUGUUGUGAUGUAUUCUCAGUGCCUGUGCCCACCUUGGAACUCUGUUCUUGCUGUUCAUGCCACAUGUGAUACUGUGGGCCAAGAUCUUUGCACGGGUACCUCAAAUAUCAUCUCAGAGGUGCUUCCCUUGAAAACUCGGUGCUAUUUCUAUAGUUGCUUUGUUUGA